AGAGUUUGAUCCUGGCUCAGGACGAACGCUGGCGGCAUGCCUAACACAUGCAAGUCGAACGAGAAAGUUCCUUCGGGAGCAAUUAAAGUGGCGCACGGGUGAGUAACGCGUAGACAAUCUGCCCUUCAGUCUGGGACAACUUUUCGAAAGGAGAGCUAAUACCGGAUAACAAUGUUUAACAUAAGUUAAGUAUUUGAAAGCUUUAUGUGCUGAAGGAGGGGUCUGCGUCCCAUUAGCUAGUUGGUAAGGUAAAGGCUUACCAAGGCAACGAUGGGUAGCGGGUUUGAGAGGACGAUCCGCCACACUGGAACUGAGACACGGUCCAGACUCCUACGGGAGGCAGCAGUGGGGAAUAUUGCACAAUGGAGGAAACUCUGAUGCAGCAACGCCGCGUGGAGGAUGACGCAUUUCGGUGUGUAAACUCCUUUUAUAUGUCAAGAAAAUGACGGUAGCAUAUGAAUAAGCACCGGCUAACUCCGUGCCAGCAGCCGCGGUAAUACGGAGGGUGCAAGCGUUACUCGGAAUCACUGGGCGUAAAGGACGCGUAGGCGGGAUGCCAAGUCUGAUGUGAAAUCCUAUGGCUUAACCAUAGAACUGCAUUGGAAACUGGUAACCUAGAGUAUGGGAGGGGGAGAUGGAAUUAGUGGUGUAGGGGUAAAAUCCGUAGAUAUCACUAGGAAUACCUAAAGCGAAGGCGAUCUCCUGGAACAAUACUGACGCUAAGGCGUGAAAGCGUGGGGAGCAAACGGGAUUAGAUACCCCGGUAGUCCACGCCCUAAACGAUGAACACUAGUCGUCGGGAUGCUAGUCAUCUCGGUGAUGCACUUAACAGAUUAAGUGUUCCGCCUGGGGAGUACGGUCGCAAGAUUAAAACUCAAAGGAAUAGACGGGGACCCGCACAAGUGGUGGAGCAUGUGGUUUAAUUCGAAGAUACGCGAAGAACCUUACCUAGCCUUGACAUUGAUUGAAUUCUGUAGAGAUACGGAAGUGCCUUUCGGGGAACAUGAAAACAGGUGCUGCACGGCUGUCGUCAGCUCGUGUCGUGAGAUGUUGGGUUAAGUCCCGCAACGAGCGCAA
rnacentral:rRNA from 1 species